rnacentral:lncRNA from 1 species
UUGGCUAUAGGAGAGGUUCCAGGGAUAAGGUCGAUCACAAACUCUAUAUCCCUAUCUGGGGGCGUUCCAGGUAGUUCUUCAGGAAAGACAUCAGGGUAUUCACUUACUACCGGGACUCCUUCUAUGGCCUUAACUUCCAUGCUAAAAACCAUUGGGUCGGGUCCACUUCCCCGAGUGUGACAAGUCACUUGUAUACCGUCCUGAUUAACCAAGCGUACUACCUUAUCAGCACAUCCUAUGUGUCCAUCAUGUAGGCUUAACCAAUCCAUUCCAAGGAUCACAUCUAUC